CCUANGGGGGGCAGCAGUGGGGAAUAUUGGACAAUGGGCGCAAGCCUGAUCCAGCAAUACCGCGUGUGUGAAGAAGGCCCUAGGGUUGUAAAGCACUUUCAAUAGGGAGGAAAACCUGCCGGUCAAUACCCGGUAGCUUGACAUUACCUAUACAAGAAGCACCGGCUAACUCCGUGCCAGCAGCCGCGGUAAUACGGAGGGUGCAAGCGUUAAUCGGAAUUACUGGGCGUAAAGCGUGCGUAGGCGGUUCGUUAAGUCAGAUGUGAAAGCCCCGGGCUCAACCUGGGAACUGCAUUUGAAACUGGCGAACUCGAGUUGAGUAGAGGGGAGUGGAAUUUCAGGUGUAGCGGUGAAAUGCGUAGAUAUCUGAAGGAACACCAGUGGCGAAGGCGACUCCCUGGACUCAAACUGACGCUGAGGUACGAAAGCGUGGGUAGCAAACAGGAUUAGAUACCCUANUANUC
rnacentral:rRNA from 1 species